UCUGUCAUUGGAUAGAUCCUAAGUGAAAUUAGAUAUAAAAGAGAAAUGAAUUGAAUUUACUGGACAACAUUCUUCAGAUCUGCCGGGACAUAUUUUCAUUUUCUUAAGCAUCUCAACAUCUUUUGUGAAAAGGGAGAAUGUGGAUGUCACUGGCUUUCACUUCACGUUUUAGGUCAGCGCUGCUUUUGGGGUGAAAGAAGACCAUCAGUAAACCUCAGCCUUGCCGCCAGGACUCCCCCGUCUUCUGCCGGAGUCCGCCGGUCCGCAGCCUGCGGCAGGGAGGCCCGGGCACCCGCAGGUGGCGCCCCACGUCCGUGUUUGCGCCC
rnacentral:sRNA from 1 species